AAAACGACUCUCGGCAACGGAUAUCUCGGCUCUCGCAUCGAUGAAGAACGCAGCGAAAUGMGAUACUUGGUGUGAAUUGCAGAAUCCCGCGAACCAUMGAGUCUUUGAACGCAAGUUGCGCCCGAAGCCAUUAGGCCGAGGGCACGUCUGCCUGGGCGUCACGC
rnacentral:rRNA from 1 species